rnacentral:rRNA from 1 species
UACGAAGGGGGGCUAGCGUUGCUCGGAAUCACUGGGCGUAAAGGGUGCGUAGGCGGGUCUUUUAAGUCAGGGGGUGAAAUCCUGGAGCUCAACUCCAGAACUGCCUUUGAUACUGAGGAUCUUGAGUUCGGGAGAGGUGAGUGGAACUGCGAGUGUAGAGGUGAAAUUCAUAGAUAUUCGCAAGAACACCAGUGGCGAAGGCGGCUCACUGGCCCGAUACUGACGCUGAGGCACGAAAGCGUGGGGAGCAAACAGG